AACGAACGCUGGCGGCGUGCCUAACACAUGCAAGUCGGACGAGAAAGUUUCCUUCGGGAAGCGAGUAAAGUGGCGCACGGGUGAGUAACACGUAGACAACCUGCCUUCCAGUCCGGGACAACCUUUCGAAAGAAGGGCUAAUACCGGAUAACACUUUGGGCCGCAUGGCCUGGGGUUGAAAGAUUUAUCGCUGGAAGAGGGGUCUGCGGGACAUUAGCUAGUUGGCGGGGUAACGGCCCACCAAGGCGACGAUGUCUAGCGGGUCG
rnacentral:rRNA from 1 species